AAGUCGUAACAAGGUUUCCGUAGGUGAACCUGCGGAAGGAUCAUUAAUGAAAUGAUGAUUUUUUUGGGGUUUUUUAACCUCAAAAAAUAAUUCACCUUUUGUGCACUGUUAUUAGAUAUACUUUGGUUAGAGCUUUGAUUUCAUUUUUUGAAAUCAACUUCUCGCUAACUCUAUCCUUUAUGAGGACUGUUGGCUAUGAAGCGGCCUACCAAGGUUUUUUAUCAAACACACUUAAUUUAUCUGACCUAAACUAUUAAAAUAAAUCAUAACUUUCAACAACGGAUCUCUUGGCUCUC
rnacentral:misc_RNA from 1 species